rnacentral:rRNA from 1 species
UACGGAGGGUGCGAGCGUUGUCCGGAAUCACUGGGCGGAAAGGGCGCGUAGGUGGCGCGGAAAGUCAACGGUGAAAGCUUGGGGCUCAACCCCGAGUCGGCCGUCGAUACUUCUGGGCUUGAGCACUGUAGAGGCAGGUGGAAUUCCGGGUGUAGCGGUGGAAUGCGUAGAUAUCUGGAGGAACACCGGUGGCGAAGGCGGCAUCCUGGACCGGUAGUGACGCUGAGGCGCGAAAGCCAGGGGAGCAAACGGG